rnacentral:rRNA from 1 species
UACGGAGGGGGCGAGCGUUAUUCGGAGUCAUUGGGCGUAAAGGGCGCGUAGGCGGCCCCGUAAGUCUUGGGUGAAAGCCCUCGGCUCAACCGAGGAAUUGCCUUGGAUACUGCGGGGCUCGAGGCUGGAAGAGGACAGUGGAAUUCCCGGUGUAGCGGUGAAAUGCGUAGAUAUCUGGAGGAACACCGGUGGCGAAGGCGGCAUCCUGGACCAACACUGACGCUGAGGAGCGAAAGCCAGGGGAGCAAACGGG